rnacentral:rRNA from 1 species
CCAAUAGCGUAUAUUAAAGUUGUUGCAGUUAAAAAGCUCGUAGUUGAAUUUCGGGGUUCAUACGUUGGUCGGGCUAUUUGGUCUGUACUUAUGUAAUGGAUUCCUACCUUCUGAAUAACCGGCAUGUCAUUAAUUUGGUGCGCCGGGGAAGCAGGACUGUUACCUUGAAAAAAUUAGAGUGCUUAAAGCAGGCUAGCGCCUGAAUACAUUAGCAUGGAAUAAUGAAAUAGGACGGCAUGGUUCUAUUUUGUUGGUUUCUAGGAUCACCGUAAUGAUUAAUAGGGAUAGUUGGGGGCAUUAGUAUUCAAUUGUCAGAGGUGAAAUUCUUGGAUUUAUUGAAGACUAACUUCUGCGAAAGCAUUUGCCAAGGAUGUUUUCAUUAAUCAAGAACGAAAGUUAGGGGAUCGAAGACGAUCAGAUACCGUCGUAGUCUUAACCAUAAACUAUGCCGACUAGGGAUCGGACGAUGUUAAUUUUUUAAUGACUCGUUCGGCGCCUUACG